GGGCAGCUGCCGGCUUGCUCGCGUCCGCCACCCGCCCGGGACCUCCGGUCGCCGUCCAGUCGCUCAGCCAGCCACGGCGCCGGGCCCAGACUCAGGCAUUCUUGCGAUGGUUUUCCUGGUCCUGUAACCGUCAUUUCUUGCAGAGGUCUGUAGUGGUGAGAUUGGACCUCCUAACCCUACGGAUACGGAAUGCUGUGGUGAGAAGCUGGAUGAGGCCAAGAAGGAUCCUCCCCUGGAGCCUUUGGAGGAAGCAUGGCGCAGCUGACGUCUUGAUUUCACACUUCAGACCUCCUUAACGAUAAGGAAAUUGAGACUUAUGUUCAGGAACCAACAGUGACUGCCUUAAUCUACACUGAAUGGAGAAAUUAGCAGAGUCCUUAGCUUGGCAUCCAAGGCCCCUGCUUUCUGGUUCCAACUCCAUUUCUGUUCUGACUCCUCACCGGCCACUCUCUCCUCACCCUCUACUCCGUGCACAUGUCCUUCCCUCUUGAUUCCAUGCCUUCAAUCCUUUCCACUUUGCCUGUAGUCCCUUCCACUUCCUCUCUCCCUCUCCAGCUCCUUGCCCAUUUUCAUGGUUCUAACAACACCUGUGAAUUCUAUCCUGACCUCCCUGCCACCCUACCUUCUUCCUCUUCAAAAUUCUCUAGCAGGAUUCCCAGGGCACUAUCUGGGUGCUGCCCAGCUUCUAGUCCCUCAUACCUCUCCUGCGGACAUCUCCAGCCCGUGUGGCAGAACAGAGCUUGUUGGGUAAAUCCUGAGGGAAGCAGCCCAGGGGCUAUUCAGUAUGUGUGUGUGCGUGGAUAUGUGUGUGUGUGUGUGUACCCUUGGGUUCUUGAGGAGAAGAGAAUUGUGGUUUUUUUUGCUUGGCAGCUGUUCUGCAGAAGCCCUGCUAACAGAAGUUGUGUGUCUGGCAUGGCCUGUGUGACAUUUUGCCAUCAAUUAUUACCUUGUAAAAAGACCUUGUAAGUCUUUAAGGUUGGAUCCUUUCAUAAUAUUAUCUGAAUUGAAAUAGCUAGUAUAAUACCCCUAUUUGAAUGGACAACUUCUGAGAAUCAAAUAGGUUACUUCUUUUGGUAAGACUCAUAUUCUCCUAAAAUUUUUGCACUAGGAUAAACUUAGAGUAGCCUAGAAAAAGAAAAACUUGAUUCCUUGCAGGAAGAUACUGCUAACAGUGAUGUGUGCCCACAGUAACCAGUGUCUUUUCAGAUGGACUCUUCUUGCUUCACGGGCAGAGGAAUACCAAGGCUUCCUUGGUAACAAUAAUGACAGAUCAGUCAUCUUGUAUUUACCUUUGCUCCUCUGUCUAAAAUUGUAUUUACCUUGUCAAUAGAUGAUCUAAGUUAUUUUCCUCUACCUUAGUAUGUUGUGAUUGUAAUAAUUACUCUUAGUGCAGGUUGCAUUUAUUUAUUUAAUUCUUACAAAAGUUUCAGAAUUGGGAUAUGUGGGUCCAGAUAAAGCGUGAACUCUAAGGUACAUAGUAUAAGAAACAUAAAUUAUGCUUCUGUUUAUACUUUCACUCUCAUAAAUUAUUUUUAUUUGUCUUUCUAUCUUGGGUAUCAUAAAUGUGUUCAUUUAAACUCUGAGUAAAUGGAUACAUUAUAUUUGAUAGCAUAGCAUAGUUUAUUCCCUCAUAGUAACUUGAAGGUAAUUCAUUUGAAGUUGUUGACAUUAAUGAAAGAUAGUUUAUAGAAAUGAAGACUCAUUUGCUUUAAUGUCAGUGUUGCUUCAUGGCUGGUAACAAGC